rnacentral:rRNA from 1 species
UACGUAGGGUGCGAGCGUUGUCCGGAAUUAUUGGGCGUAAAGAGCUCGUAGGCGGUUUGUCACGUCUGCUGUGAAAUCCCGAGGCUCAACCUCGGGCCUGCAGUGGGUACGGGCAGACUGGAGUGCGGUAGGGGAGAAUGGAAUUCCUGGUGUAGCGGUGGAAUGCGCAGAUAUCAGGAGGAAUACCGGUGGCGAAGGCGGCAUCCUGGACCGACAUUGACGCUGAGGAGCGAAAGCUAGGGGAGCAAACGGG